rnacentral:lncRNA from 1 species
UCAACUUCUUUUUCUUCAGUCUCUCAAACUUUUCAUGGUGCCUCCCAUGUUCAUAUUUAAACUGUUACCCUUAUGGUUGCUUCUCAAAUGGCUACACCAUGCUUCAUGAAAUAGGUAUACCUUCUCUAUCAACUCUUUUUUCUUUUUUCAAUCUUCCACAUCACUGCUUUUGUUUCCUACAUUUUAAUGGAUUUGUUCUGUUACUCACUUUUUUGGAGGCAUUCAUCAAUAAUUCCUUUUACUUGUUUAAAUGUAUGACAGGAAUUCGCAUCAGUUCAACAACUUUCCGUUUCGAUUAAUUUCUUAUCAGGUUUGUCAUGUUUCGCAACCAAAUCUUUUUACCGAAGUCCUUCCACCAAGCUUUCAGAUCCAAUAUUAUCGGUGUGAAGUAUAUGUCCCAGGUGGUCUUUGAGUAAUCGUUACCAAAAUGUUUAUCAAGCUGAAGUUUGCUUUGUUGGAGGGAUUGCAACUUAGUAUAUUCGAUGACUUUAAAAUAAAUAAAUU